rnacentral:rRNA from 1 species
AGAGUUUGAUCAUGGCUCAGAAUGAACGCUGGCGGCGUGCUUAACACAUGCAAGUCGAGCGAGGCGAGGGGGGCAACUCCCUCAGUCGAGCGGCGGACGGGUGAGUAACACGUGGGUCACCUGCCCGGAAGUGGGGAAUACCUCGGGGAAACUCGAGCUAAUACCGCAUGACAUCGUCGGGACGCCCGUCCUGACGAUCAAAGCGGGGCCGCAAGGCCUCGCGCUACCGGAUGGGCCCGCGCCCGAUUAGCUAGUUGGCGAGGUAACGGCUCACCAAGGCGACGAUCGGUAACCGGCCUGAGAGGGCGAUCGGUCACACCGGAACUGAGACACGGCCCGGACUCCUACGGGAGGCAGCAGUGGGGAAUCUUGCGCAAUGGGCGAAAGCCUGACGCAGCAACGCCGCGUGGAGGAUGAAGGCCCUUGGGUUGUAAACUCCUGUCGGUUGGGAAGAAAUCGUCCGGGGCGAAUACCCCCGGACGUUGACUGUACCAGCAAAGGAAGCCCCGGCUAACUCUGUGCCAGCAGCCGCGGUAAUACAGAGGGGGCCAGCGUUAUUCGGAAUUAUUGGGCGUAAAGGGCGCGUAGGCGGCCAUGCGUGUCUUCCGUGAAAUCCCUCGGCUCAACUGAGGACGUGCGGAAGAAACUGCAAGGCUCGAGUCCGGGAGAGGGGGGUGGAAUUCCCAGUGUAGCGGUGAAAUGCGUAGAUAUUGGGAGGAACACCGGUGGCGAAGGCGGCCCCCUGGACCGGUACUGACGCUGAGGCGCGAAAGCGUGGGGAGCAAACGGGAUUAGAUACCCCGGUAGUCCACGCCGUAAACGAUGGGCACUUGGUGUCGCGGGUAUCGACCCCUGCGGUGCCGAAGCUAACGCAUUAAGUGCCCCGCCUGGGGAGUACGGUCGCAAGGCUGAAACUCAAAGGAAUUGACGG